rnacentral:lncRNA from 1 species
UUGGGGUUGCCAUAGACUUAUGAGAAAGAUCACCAACUUUACAAAGAGACUGUGAAUGUAGUGGGAGCAUCUUCUUCAGACGGGCAUCAUCCCUUUAAGAAAGGAAAGAAGAAGAAGAAAAAUAAGGUGCCAAGUGCUGGGGGUUAGACUGUGAAGUCCAAGUUCAAGUCCGAUCAAAGUCAGAUGGAGUACUUCUACUAUAGGAAGCAGAGUCACUGGAAGAAGAACUGCCCUCAAUACAUUACUUUUUUUGAUCUGAAUAGGACUAAGAAGAA